rnacentral:tRNA from 1 species
GGGGGCCAUAAGACCUGCUAACUCUUUUUCCUGGUAAAUAAUUAACCAGCCCCCUCUAC